UAAGGAAUUUUUGGCAAUGGAGGAAACUCUGACCGAGCGACGCCGCGUGAACAAUGAAGUACUUCGGUAUGUACAGUUCUUUUAUUGAAAAAGAAAAAAUAGUGGAAAAACUAUCCUGAAAUUAUUCAAUGAAUAAGCCCCGGCUAAUUAUGUGCCAGCAGCCGCGGUAAUACAUAAGGGGCGAGCGUUAUCCGGAAUUAUUGGGCGUAAAGGGUGCGUAGGCGGUUUGAUAAGUCUAUAGUUUAAUUACAGUGCUUAACACUGUACCGCUAUAGAAACUGUCUGACUAGAGUUAGAUAGAGGCAAGCGGAAUUCCAUGUGUAGCGGUAAAAUGCGUAAAUAUAUGGAGGAACACCAGAGGCGUAGGCGGCUUGCUGGGUCUUAACUGACGCUGAGGCACGAAAGCGUGGGGAGCAAACAGGAUUAGAUACCCUGGUAGUCCACGCCGUAAACGAUGAGUACUAAGUGUCGGGUUUCUGCUCGGUACUGAAGUUAACACAUUAAGUACUCCGCCUGAGUAGUACGUACGCAAGUAUGAAACUUAAAGGAAUUGACGGGACCCCGCACAAGCGGUGGAUCAUGUUGUUUAAUUCGAAGAUACACGAAAAACCUUACCAGGUCUUGACAUAAUUUUGCGACAUUAUAGAAAUAUAAUGAAGGUUAUCAGAAUUACAGGUGGUGCAUGGUUGUCGUCAGCUCGUGUCGUGAGAUGUUAGGUUAAGUCCUAAAACGAGCGCAACCCUUGUCGUUAGUUGCGACCACAUAAUGGUGAGCACUUUAGCGAGACUGCCAAUGAAAAAUUGGAGGAAGGUGAGGAUUACGUCAAAUCAUCAUGCCCCUUAUGAUCUGGGCUACAAACGUGAUACAAUGGCUGUUACAAAGAGUAGCUACAACGUGAGUUUUUAGCCAAUCUCAAAAAAACAGUCUCAGUUCGGAUUGAAGUCUGCAACUCGACUUCAUGAAGUUGGAAUCGCUAGUAAUCGCGAAUCAGCAUGUCGCGGUGAAUACGUUCUCGGGGUUUGUACACACCGCCCGUCA
rnacentral:rRNA from 1 species